CGGCCACUGACACUAGCGAUGUCUGAGUGAUACUGACGUGGCAGCCUCCCACUCGCUCCACCUUCCAGGAAAGAGUAAGCCUAAGGAAUAGUUUGGGAAAAUACCAACCUUUUUCUUUGAAAUUCCAAGGUCACACAAUCCUGGCAGCUCUCAGGAUCUUGUUGCGGAUCUGAACAGAGUCACAAACUAAAAGAAUAGGUCGGGAAAUGUUAGAUCUACCUGAGGCCGUGUGGGUUGCAGGUUGUUUAUUUUCAUCACACCUGAUAAUAUACCACAUGGAAGCAUCUUACAAAUGGAAAGUGACCUUACAAGAUCAUCUGUUCCAAUUCACCUUCAUAGUUCAGAAACCAAAAGAGGUUUGGAAACUCACCCAAGGACUCAUAACUUGGCAGAGGCUAUGAGAACAAAACUGCCAUUACCAGAAAAGAAGGGGAGUGGAGGGGGCAUAUCAGUGAGGUGCCAGGCCAAAGCUGACACACACAGAAUAUGAGGACAUGUGACCUGUGACCACUGGACUGGACAACACAGGAAGCUCUGGCAAGCCAUAUAACUACUGGCCCAAAUGAUAAAAGUACAUUGAGAAUAAAAGAGGGAGGUUCUAUAUUCUCUCUGAAACUACCUACACUCCUAAAACAUCUGACAAAAGCCAAAUAAUUGGCUGACACCACGAUUGGCCAUGUCAAAUCUGAGACUCUUGACCACAUAACCAACUUUACUGACAAUAACAACUGGCUGUUACAGAGCAUCUACUACACUCACAGAGAUCACCUUUCUUCAUGUAGUAUUUAAUACUCCAAGCUAUGGGUUUCAAGGUUCCACAUUUGUUAGAAAAAAAAGAAAAUCCUUAAAAAAGGCAAAAAGGGCAUAUUUUGUAUCAUGUCAAUUCUUGUCUGUUUACCUAUUUAUAUGGCUCAGAAGGGUGGGUGCUGCUAGAGACAAAACUCACAGGACUCGUGCUGACUCUUUCCCAUAUUUGCUCAUAGCUAGACAUGCUUUGCUUGAAACUGUUUUCUCUAUGUAUGUCAAUUCAGCCACAUUUUGUCAAUUGAAAAAAUAAAAUCAAACCCUGCUGUUCACAUGUGGUAGCUAAUUACUGGGUAGACUUGCU